ensembl:lncRNA
UGUUGUUGUUGUUGUUGUUGUUGUUGUUUGAAGUGUAGUUGUUGUUGUUGUUGUUGUUUUCUCACUAAUUGUUUCAUUAUGUUUUCUUUUUCUCGCUUUUUUUUCCUCGUUUUAAAUUAAAAGUCACUUAACACUUUAGGUAUGUUCUUGGAUUUGAUCAAUGCUUUUAUUUUAUAGUGGAAUGAAAUAGUUUAAAAUCCCCAUAUAUUACAAGAAGCCCUUUAUUGUUACAUCUGCACAGAGAGGAAGGGUGGAAUAUGAACAACACACACACACACACACACACACACACACACAAAGUGUUGCUAAGCAAUGAAAAUUAAAAUGAAUGCUACUGCAAUUACGGCAUGACAACUUUGUAAUGGCUUCAAUCCUCUUUCUUUCUUUCUCGCUUUCCCUUUCUCUUUACUUUCAGUUUUCCAUACGCCCUGCUGUGCAAUAAGGCGUCAGUUCGAAGGAGGUGGGGGGAUGGGGGGGGGACCACAAAACAGGCUCUUCCCUGGUGAUUUCAGUCUUUGUGGCUGCAUACCGUGCCCUCCACUAAUAUUGGCACCCCUUGGUAAAUAUGAGCAAAGAAGGCUGUGAAAGAUUGUCUUUAUUGUUUAUCUUUUUGAUCUUUUAUUAAAAGAAUUCACAAAAAUACUCUGCUCUCAUGCAUAUCAAACUAUUCCAAACACAACACAGGUUUAUCCAAAAAACAUCUUUGUUUACUCUAUCACUAUAAUUAAUCUCAAUUCAUCCCACUAGUCAGUGUGUGUGUGGAUAUAUACAUUUGCUCAUUGUGUAUGAUGCUUAAUGGGUGGCUCAAUGGUCAAGGCUCUACGUUACUGACCAGAAGGUCUGGGGUUCAAGGCCAAGCUGCCGCUGUUGGGCCCUUGAACAAGACCCUUAACCCUCUCGGCUCCAGGGGUGCCAUACUGUAUCAUAUCUGACCCUGCGCUCUGACCUAUACUUCCUAACAAGCUAGGUUAUGCGAAGAAAAGAACUGUGCCAAAUAAAUGCGUCUUCUUCAUGGGUGAUGUUCCGAACCCCCAUACGGACCUCAGCCAUGGCGCGGAGGUAACCGUUAACGAACGGCUCACGCUUACAUCCACAGCACCACCACAUCCCGAGACAAAUCUUUAGGGAUGUGAUUCUUACGGAAUCACCCGUCAGACAGAUUCACUGCAUUAACGUUACUCCAGUGCUAAUCCGUCCGGGUUCUGAUAUCUAAAUUACAUCCAGCUAAAUUAAACGGAGCAAGCGACGCAGCGGUGCUGAAGAAUAUCGGACCUCCUGAGAGGUUUUCCCGAACGAGAGCUGACUUCUUAAUUGAGCGUGAAAUCAAAGAGUGGAUGUUUUGAUUCGACAGCAGAGAAAAGUUAUCACAGGACACAAAUUCAGAGGACUGUACCGU